UACGAAGGGGGCUAGCGUUGCUCGGAAUCACUGGGCGUAAAGGGUGCGUAGGCGGCUUCUUAAGUCAGGGGUGAAAUCCUGGAGCUCAACUCCAGAACUGCCUUUGAUACUGAGGAGCUUGGAGUCCGGGAGAGGUGAGUGGAACUGCGAGUGUAGAGGUGAAAUUCGUAGAUAUUCGCAAGAACACCAGUGGCGAAGGCGGCUCACUGGCCCGGUACUGACGCUGAGGUGCGAAAGCGUGGGGAGCAAACAGG
rnacentral:rRNA from 1 species